ACCAGCGGUGGAGGAGGGAUGAAGAUGAUUCAGAGAAGGAAGGGAAGGCAGGUUACUCCUACAGGGAUUUCACAAGUUCGUCGAGGAGGCAUUGUAGGAAAGGCCUGGAGUCCUGUCCUCCCUCUGUCGGGGUACCUGUAAGAAAAAAGAAAAAGAAAGAAAAAAACCCACUGAUAAAUGACUUUGAGCAAAGCAAUUAGAGAUAAUUAGUGCCUUGACUGACACAGAAAGUAAAGAAAA
rnacentral:lncRNA from 1 species